AAACAACACUCUGAGGCAGAUAAACAAAACUAUCUGAUAUAAUUUGAGCUUACUCUAGCUAAGAAGUCUAACCUAUUCUAGUGUUGUCUUCCCCACAAAACAAGCUAUCAUAUAGGCUCAAACGGC